rnacentral:rRNA from 1 species
UACAGAGGGUGCGAGCGUUGUUCGGAAUUACUGGGCGUAAAGCGCGCGUAGGCGGACCUGCAAGUCGGGGGGUGAAAGCCCGAGGCUCAACCUCGGAACUGCCUUCGAUACUGCGGGUCUCGAGUCCGGGAGAGGUGAGUGGAAUUCCUAGUGUAGAGGUGAAAUUCGUAGAUAUUAGGAAGAACACCAGUGGCGAAGGCGGCUCUCUAGUACGGUACUGACGCUGAGACGCGAAAGCGUGGGGGAGCGAAACAGG